CUGGCGGCGUGCCUAAUACAUGCAAGUCGUACGCUUCUUUUUCCACCGGAGCUUGCUCCACCGGAAAAAGAAGAGUGGCGAACGGGUGAGUAACACGUGGGUAACCUGCCCAUCAGAAGGGGAUAACACUUGGAAACAGGUGCUAAUACCGUAUAACAAUCGAAACCGCAUGGUUUUGAUUUGAAAGGCGCUUUCGGGUGUCGCUGAUGGAUGGACCCGCGGUGCAUUAGCUAGUUGGUGAGGUAACGGCUCACCAAGGCCACGAUGCAUAGCCGACCUGAGAGGGUGAUCGGCCACAUUGGGACUGAGACACGGCCCAAACUCCUACGGGAGGCAGCAGUAGGGAAUCUUCGGCAAUGGACGAAAGUCUGACCGAGCAACGCCGCGUGAGUGAAGAAGGUUUUCGGAUCGUAAAACUCUGUUGUUAGAGAAGAACAAGGAUGAGAGUAACUGUUCAUCCCUUGACGGUAUCUAACCAGAAAGCCACGGCUAACUACGUGCCAGCAGCCGCGGUAAUACGUAGGUGGCAAGCGUUGUCCGGAUUUAUUGGGCGUAAAGCGAGCGCAGGCGGUUUCUUAAGUCUGAUGUGAAAGCCCCCGGCUCAACCGGGGAGGGUCAUUGGAAACUGGGAGACUUGAGUGCAGAAGAGGAGAGUGGAAUUCCAUGUGUAGCGGUGAAAUGCGUAGAUAUAUGGAGGAACACCAGUGGCGAAGGCGGCUCUCUGGUCUGUAACUGACGCUGAGGCUCGAAAGCGUGGGGAGCAAACAGGAUUAGAUACCCUGGUAGUCCACGCCGUAAACGAUGAGUGCUAAGUGUUGGAGGGUUUCCGCCCUUCAGUGCUGCAGCUAACGCAUUAAGCACUCCGCCUGGGGAGUACGACCGCAAGGUUGAAACUCAAAGGAAUUGACGGGGGCCCGCACAAGCGGUGGAGCAUGUGGUUUAAUUCGAAGCAACGCGAAGAACCCUUACCAGGUCUUGACAUCCUUUGACCACCUCUAGAGAUAGA
rnacentral:rRNA from 1 species